CAAUCAUGUGAUAUAUACGUAUGAUAUAUAAACCGGAAGUGAUAUCCUAUUUUCUACGAAUUUUAGAACUUACCUUAAUUAUCACUUUCGUUCUUCAUACAUUUAUACGUUAGUUUACUCUAAAAAGGCUUGUACUCAUUAUCAAUUAUACAUGAUGCAUUAAAAUGCAUAAAACAUUUAAAAUAAAUGCGUACCCGGUAAACAUAGAUCUACAUUAUUGUACGUAGUCUAAAGGAUAUUAUAAAUAAGCUGUGAGUUGUAAUACAAUGUUGGUACACUUUAUUUUUAUAAUCGUAUAAUAUUGUACAAAUUAUUACAGUAAACUAUAUAUUUCUGUAAUUA